rnacentral:rRNA from 1 species
CAGCCGUAAACUAUGCGCGUUAGGUGUAUCGGUGACCACGAGUUACCGAGGUGCCGAAGGGAAACCGUGAAACGUGCCGCCUGGGAAGUACGGUCGCAAGGCUGAAACUUAAAGGAAUUGGCGGGGGAGCACAACAACGGGUGGAGCCUGCGGUUUAAUUGGACUCAACGCCGGACAACUCACCGGGGACGACAGCAAUAUGUAGGCCAGGCUGAAGACCUUGCCUGAAUCGCUGAGAGGAGGUGCAUGGCGUAGACGUCU